rnacentral:rRNA from 1 species
UGCAAGUCGAACGGAAAGGCCCUGCUUUUGUGGGGUGCUCGAGUGGCGAACGGGUGAGUAACACGUGAGUAACCUGCCCUUGACUUUGGGAUAACUUCAGGAAACUGGGGCUAAUACCGGAUAGGAGCUCCUGCUGCAUGGUGGGGGUUGGAAAGUUUCGGCGGUUGGGGAUGGACUCGCGGCUUAUCAGCUUGUUGGUGGGGUAGUGGCUUACCAAGGCUUUGACGGGUAGCCGGCCUGAGAGGGUGACCGGCCACAUUGGGACUGAGAUACGGCCCAGACUCCUACGGGAGGCAGCAGUGGGGAAUAUUGCACAAUGGGCGGAAGCCUGAUGCAGCAACGCCGCGUGCGGGAUGACGGCCUUCGGGUUGUAAACCGCUUUCGCCUGUGACGAAGCGUGAGUGACGGUAAUGGGUAAAGAAGCACCGGCUAACUACGUGCCAGCAGCCGCGGUGAUACGUAGGGUGCGAGCGUUGUCCGGAUUUAUUGGGCGUAAAGGGCUCGUAGGUGGUUGAUCGCGUCGGAAGUGUAAUCUUGGGGCUUAACCCUGAGCGUGCUUUCGAUACGGGUUGACUUGAGGAAGGUAGGGGAGAAUGGAAUUCCUGGUGGAGCGGUGGAAUGCGCAGAUAUCAGGAGGAACACCAGUGGCGAAGGCGGUUCUCUGGGCCUUUCCUGACGCUGAGGAGCGAAAGCGUGGGGAGCGAACAGGCUUAGAUACCCUGGGUAGUCCACGCUGUAAACGGUGGGUACUAGGUGUGGGGUCCAUUCCACGGGUUCCGCGCCGUAGCUAACGCUUUAAGUACCCCGCCUGGGGAGUACGGCCGCAGGUUAAAACU